rnacentral:rRNA from 1 species
AAGACCUUGCGCUUUUGGAGCGGCCGAUGCCUGAUUAGCUUGUUGGUAAGGUAAAAGCUUACCAAGGCUUCGAUCAGUAGCUGGUCUGAGAGGACGACCAGCCACACUGGGACUGAGACACGGCCCAGACUCCUACGGGAGGCAGCAGUGGGGAAUUUUGGACAAUGGGCGCAAGCCUGAUCCAGCCAUGCCGCGUGAGUGAAGAAGGCCUUCGGGUUGUAAAGCUCUUUCAGUCGAGAAGAAAAGGUCACGGCUAAUAAUCGUGAUCCAUGACGGUAUCGACAGAAGAAGCACCGGCUAACUACGUGCCAGCAGCCGCGGUAAUACGUAGGGUGCGAGCGUUAAUCGGAAUUACUGGGCGUAAAGGGUGCGCAGGCGGUUUUGUAAGUCAGAUGUGAAAUCCCCGGGCUUAACCUGGGAACU